rnacentral:rRNA from 1 species
ACAGAGACCUCGAGCGUUAUUCGGAUUCACUGGGCGUAAAGGGUGCGCAGGCGGUCAGAUGUGUCAGGUGUGAAAUCUCGGGGCUUAACCUCGAAACUGCGCCUGAAACUAUUUGACUAGAGUAUCGGAGAGGUGAGCGGAAUUCAUGGUGUAGCAGUGAAAUGCGUAGAUAUCAUGAGGAACACCAGAGGCGAAGGCGGCUCACUGGACGAUUACUGACGCUCAGGCACGAAAGCGUGGGGAGCGAAAGGG